rnacentral:piRNA from 1 species
UCCUUUGUGACCAGCUCUGGAUUUUGGCC